GUUCGGAUCGAAGUAAUGAUCAAAGAGACAGGCGGGGACGUUUGUAUGGCUGCGCUAGAGGUGAAAUUCAUGGACCGUAGCCAGACAAACUAAAGCGAAAGCAUUCGUCAAGCAUGUUUUCAUUGGCCAUGAGCGAAAGUCAGAGGCUCGAAGACGAUCAGAUACCGUCCUAGUUCUGACCAUAAACGAUGCCAACUGACGAUCCGUGGUGGUAGUCGUGUUACCUUCCCCACGGGCGGUCCCCGGGAAACCUUUAAGUGUUUGGACUCCGGCGCAAGUAUGGUUGCAAAGCUGAAACUUAAAGGAAUUGACGACGGGGAACCACCAAGACUGGAUCCCACGGCGUAAUUUGACUCAACACGGGAAAACUCUCCCGGGCCGGAAGGUAUGAUCAUUGACACAUUGAGAGCUCGUGCUGGAUUUGGAGGUCGAAGGUGCAUGGCCGUACUUAGUUGAUGGAUCUAUUUGUGUGGUUAAUUCCGAUAACGAACGAGACUCCAGCCUGCUAAUAAGUAGGCAUUCGUCCACUGCAUCUGUGAAGGCGGCGUCGGAUGAUACCACCUGCCACGGGUGGCGGGCUUUCACGAGAGAAACCCCACUCUCCUCUCGUCUCUCCACGCCUCGCUGCCGCCUCCGCCGUCGUCCUCCCUCCGUCGUCUCCCGCUUUCUUCCUCCUGCGCGCUGCUCUCCCUCCUCCUCCCUCCUCCCUCUCCCGCUCACCAGGGGGAAAGCGGGAGAGGGGGGGGGAGGAAGGGGGUUGAAAAAGCGAGCGAGAAAGAUAUCGCGAAACCGAGGAGGACGACGACGUGGGCGACGUAUAUGGCAAAGCCGGAUAGAAGAGAGGAUAGUGGGCUCAUGAAAACCCGCCACCCGUGGUUUGUGGUUUAUCCAACCCCCCCAUCUCAGAUGCAUUCGACAAUUGCACUAAUUAACCGGGGGGAAUCCCCUUCGUUUUCAGAAAUAACCAGAUCAUCCCUCCACCAACUAACAACGGCCCUGCCCCACCAACCACCAAAUCAAGAAAGAAUCAAUUUGUCAAUCCUCAAAGUUUCCGGCCCGGGUGAGUUCCCGUGUUGAGUCAAAUUAAGCCUGCAAGUUCCCCUCCUGGGGGUGCCCAUUCCCAAAUCCUCUAAGUUUCAGCUUUGCAACCAUACUUCCCCGAACCAAACACUUAAAGGUUUCCGGGACUGCCCGUGGGGAA
rnacentral:rRNA from 1 species